rnacentral:tRNA from 1 species
GCAGCAGUAGCUCAGUGCCAGAGCGCCAGUCUUGUAAACCGGACGCCGAAGGUUAAAAUCCUUCCUGCCGC